AUUGGAGGCGGGCGCCGCCCCGCCCCUCGAGGGCAGGGAGCUCCAGGCCGCAGCUACCCGGAGAAGUCGGGGAUUAAGUUGCUAAAGCGUUUGGCCGCCCGCGAACCCCCAGGCACAGCCACCAGCCCUUGCCCUUCACCUCAACCUCCCCACCAGAACAAGAAGGGUCCCCGCGGUUGUGGUCCAGGCCGACGUCCCCAUGUCACAGAUGGGAAGGUUGCACUUAGCAAUGGGAAAACUCUUCCAUCUCCAGUGCAGGGCUGGUGGUAAGCUUGCUUUUCCCUUCCAUCCUGUGAGCUGGAGACAGCGGUAAGGGGGGG